CUUGCUAACACAUUGACCUAUAAGGCUCCUCAAUUAUUAGUCCUAUGUUUGUGGCAUUGAAUUCUCUAGUUUGUAAUCGUACCUCCCGAUCCUCAAUGGUUCCGUCUAUGCCCUUCCUCAACUUAAAUGCUUACACCUAAUUUUUUUUCAAAAUAAUGUGUCACCGUCUAUUUUGUCUUAUCACGUUUGAUUACUUCUUGCAUAGAGCGUUUGAAUUGAACUCAAACUGGUGUCUAUAUAUAUAUUUUGUUAGUCUGGUUAAAUAUAUGCAAGAGGUAAUUGAAAAUGCCUUUUGUAUAAUGCCUUCAAAAAAUUAUGCAAAUGUUUAUUUGUCUGGCUAUAGGCGAUUUUCGCCAGUUGUAUCCCAGAAAUCAUUGACUUGAUCGGGACUAGACCAAAAUAUGGCGGCACCUUGAAGAAUGAACGUGGCCGAAGGCACAUUGUGGUUUGUGGGCAUAUUACCUACGAGUCGGUUUCCCAUUUCUUAAAGGAUUUUCUUCACGAAGAUAGAGAAGAUGUGGACGUUGAAGUGGUCUUUCUACACAGAAAAGAACCUGAUUUGGAAUUGGAGGGAUUACUAAAGCGACACUAUACAACCGUGGAGUUUUUUCAGGGUACCAUGAUGAACGCAGUUGACCUUGAAAGAGUCAAGGUAUCGACUGGGUGUCAAAUUCAAUCAAAUCAAUAUUGCUUUUAUAUAUUCUUGUUUCGAUUGCACAACGCCUACUUUUUAAGUUUUGCAGAAUCUUGCAUAGUAGCUGCAUGGUAAAACUCAGAAUUCCAAGUUUAUUAUUAUUAGACGCGUUCUUCGCGAUAUGUGCCUUUUUAUAUUUAUUUUACAUUUUAUAUUGUGUUUCAAUUUUUUGGGAA
rnacentral:lncRNA from 1 species